rfam:Glossina fuscipes fuscipes unplaced genomic scaffold Scaffold45, whole genome shotgun sequence.
UUUAGUACGCAGGCGCCAUGGAUAGUUAAUCGUGCAUGCUGCUAGUCAGACGCAGCAGUAUCUUUUGAAGAUUU